UGUUUGAACUCAACCUAAUAUAUAUGUAUGUAUAUGCAGUUUGUUCUGUACUCUGUUGGUACUAUAAGGCAAAAAGUGCUUAAAGCCUGACCAGUAAUAUAUGAUCACACGCCAUAUUGCGGAAUUUCAUUGGAACUAUUUUUUUUCAUACUAAACUGAACUGUCGCCUUAUACAUGAGAAUAACAGCGCCCUCUUGACAAUGAUCAUAUAUUUCUGGUCGCUUUAUAAUAAUAAUAAAAUUGAGAGCGCACUAGUCGCCAACAAACUGUCUUCAGUUUGGCGAAACUUUUGUAUAUUUAACUUUUGUAUGUUGUGUCGUUGUCUAAGUACCCUCAACACAAGCCUUAUUGAGCUUACUGUGGGACUUAGUCAAUUUGUGUAAUAAUGUCCUAUAAUAUUUAUUUAUUUAUUUAUUGUCAUAAUUAAAUAAAUACAUUAAAAAUUUAUUUAAUUAUUAAAGGCGGUAAAUAAAAAUAUACGAACGAGUCUGAAUUGAAGAUCGAAGCCAAAGGCGGGAGCAAAAUUAACACGAGUCCGUAAUUCAUGUACCUAAUACCUCCCGUUUCACGCACAAAGUUUUUAAUCACACUUGUGUGGAAAAAGGGAAAUAAAUAAAACUUCUGCCUAAUUUAGUAUGAACAUCAUAGCCCUAGGUCAAAAUUUACGAUUUACGGACCGCAUUACCUACGUGUACACCUUUUACGAGCAUGAUUGAUGAAAAUGAAGUCAAUAAAAGUGUGUUAAUAAUAAAAACGUUGUUGAAUGUGAUGCGGGCCAGAAACUAUCAGAGCCUAUUAAUGGUAAUACUUUUAAUGAGAUUAUAGUGGUUGGAUCUCAUUAUAUGAGUAAACAUUGCUCUGAAUAUAGUAAUAUUUCGUAAUAGACUCGCUUUGACGGUCUUGUAUGCAUUAAUCCGCUCAUGAAUCUCACUGUGGAUUGAAAAGUAUAGGUCAAAUUAAACAUUGUAUCAAUCGCAUGUAGUUAGGUAUAUUAUUUUUUACCCAUUCAGGAUAAAAAAGACAUAUUUACUUGUCUACGUCUCUACAUCUUACGCUUCCUUCACUUUCAUAACGUUCCUCAUACACGCUCGCCGUUUUACGGUGCUCUUGACCUGGAAUUUCUUCAGGAUUUUCACGGUUUGAUCAGAGAAAGUCCGCCGAGCUUUACUCCUUCCAGCUCCCUCUUUUACUUCUCCCUUAUACACCCUCUUUGUUAGCCUUCUUUCACUUAUUCUUUUAACAGUACAUCUUCUUUCAGUUAACACUUUUCCCUUAUCACACUGUUCCUAAUUCUAUCCUGUAAUCUCACACCAUACACACUUCUCAACGCUCUUCAUUUCCACUGCAUUCACUUGGCUCUAAUACCUAUUCUGCCAUACCCAACUUUCGCUACCAAACAUAAGUGUAGGAACCAAUACCCUUCAAUGCCUACCUAUAUACCUACCUACAUACAUAUUUACAGUAAUAUUGAAAAUCAUCUACCUAUGGGUAGUAUGAAUUUGGUGAAAUGUUUUCUUUUUCGGCUAGGGCUUAUCUGUUAAACAAAAGUCUAUGUUUCUUCUAUGCAGCGGUUACCAAUGCUACCGCUACUGAUGGCAGCAAACUCGUUUAAAAAGAAAAGAAAUUCUACCGACCUAUUUAUAAUAUAGUUCAAAUUCGUGUAACAGCUCAUUCUGUUACCUGACAUGCCACACAAGAGCGACCGAUCGCCCUACAUUACCCAAACUCAUUCUGAGAAUGAGCUGUUACAUAAAUUUGAACUUUAAUACUAUAACGGUAGUUGCGUUUAACGACAUGGUUGCUUUGGCAUGCGCCUAAGACGCAUAUCCAUAAAAGAAACAAAAGCUUUUGUUUAACAGACUACAGAUGUUAAGAAAAAGCCUUAAAAAUCAUUUUAAAGACAAAAAAACAUUUUAGUUAAUUCGUACUAUAAAUAGCUAAGUGUAUUUAUGAUGCUCUCAUAUUUUUAAAGUAUGAUUUUAAUUAUCACCAUUCAAUAAAAAUAUAAGACAUCAACUCAUUAAAAUAAACAGGAUAAAUAUAAACAUAAACAAAUAAACAGGUAAUUUUUUUUUUAAUCCAAACCUCUUAUAGAUUCCGCUUAGCAGUGUAAGUAUCACGAACAAUUACAAAAAGAGCUCAAGAUUAAAAAUCGUUUCGAGAAUUACCAAUUUGCUGAAACUCCAGCUAUUCUUUUAUUUCAGAAAAACAAUACAGCCGGUAGGAAUCCGCAAUCUCGCUACAGAUAAAGAGUGGUUUAAAAGAAAAACUGUUAAAGGAAUCAGCGAAAUCCUAACGAUAAACAGAAAGGAAAUGUCUUAAGAGAUAUUUAUCGGUUAAAUAUUCGCCACGAAGCACUGCGAGCUCAUAAAAUGGAAGAAAGAAUGCUGUCCCGAGACUAGUGAUAACAUAGGGCAUAUUCCCGGGAAUCUUCGCGUUUUAAAAAAAUCGAAUAACAAGAGAACCUACUCGUAAUCUAAAUGUUGUUAUUUGGUUCAUGUAAAUAUUACAUUAUUUGUAUCAUGA